rnacentral:ncRNA from 1 species
GGCCGGGUAGCGCGCAUCUAUACAAGACCCUGAAAGGGGAAGCAUGCGGGCCGUCUGUGAGCGGUGUUCAAGUACCCGGCCGCCCUCUG